rnacentral:rRNA from 1 species
UGCCUGGCGGCACUAGCGCGGUGGUCCCACCUGACCCCAUGCCGAACUCAGAAGUGAAACGCCGUAGCGCCGAUGGUAGUGUGGGGUCUCCCCAUGCGAGAGUAGGGAACUGCCAGGCAA